rnacentral:rRNA from 1 species
CCACCACCAAAGCAUUUGCUGUACCGCGUUGACGGAGCGAAGCGACGUCAAACCGAUAAAACAGCAGUGUAAAGUGAGCCGCAGGGCGCUUUGCGCGACAGCGCAAAGGCAGGCGGUUUCGCGUAGCGAAAGCGAAUGCUUUGGGGUGGGGUGACUGCGUACCUUUUGUAUAAUGGGUCAGCGACUUAUAUUCUGUAGCAAGGUUAACCGAAUAGGGGAGCCGGAGGGAAACCGAGUCUUAAUUGGGCGUUAAGUUGCAGGGUAUAGACCCGAAACCCGGUGAUCUAGCCAUGGGCAGGUUGAAGGUUGGGUAACACUAACUGGAGGACCGAACCGACUAAUGUUGAAAAAUUAGCGGAUGACCUGUGGCUGGGGGUGAAAGGCCAAUCAAACCGGGAGAUAGCUGGUUCUCCCCGAAAGCUAUUUAGGUAGCGCCUCGUGAAUUCAUCUCCGGGGGUAGAGCACUGUUUCGGCUAGGGGGCCAUCCCGGCUUACCAACCCGAUGCAAACUGCGAAUACCGGAGAAUGUUAUCACGGGAGACACACGGCGGGUGCUAACGUCCGUCGUGAAGAGGGAAACAACCCAGACCGCCAGCUAAGGUCCCAAAGUCAUGGUUAAGUGGGAAACGAUGUGGGAAGGCCCAGACAGCCAGGAUGUUGGCUUAGAAGCAGCCAUCAUUUAAAGAAAGCGUAAUAGCUCACUGGUCGAGUCGGCCUGCGCGGAAGAUGUAACGGGGCUAAACCAUGCACCGAAGCUGCGGCAGCGACACUGUGUGUUGUUGGGUAGGGGAGCGUUCUGUAAGCCUGUGAAGGUGUGUCGUGAGGCAUGCUGGAGGUAUCAGAAGUGCGAAUGCUGACAUAAGUAACGAUAAAGCGGGUGAAAAGCCCGCUCGCCGGAAGACCAAGGGUUCCUGUCCAACGUUAAUCGGGGCAGGGUGAGUCGACCCCUAAGGCGAGGCCGAAAGGCGUAGUCGAUGGGAAACGGGUUAAUAUUCCCGUACUUGGUGUUACUGCGAAGGGGGGACGGAGAAGGCUAUGUUGGCCGGGCGACGGUUGUCCCGGUUUAAGCGUGUAGGUGUGUGUUCCAGGUAAAUCCGGUUCACUUUAACACUGAGGCGUGACGACGAGGCACUACGGUGCUGAAGCAACAAAUGCCCUGCUUCCAGGAAAAGCCUCUAAGCAUCAGGUAACAUCAAAUCGUACCCCAAACCGACACAGGUGGUCAGGUAGAGAAUACCAAGGCGCUUGAGAGAACUCGGGUGAAGGAACUAGGCAAAAUGGUGCCGUAACUUCGGGAGAAGGCACGCUGACACGUAGGUGAAGUGAUUUACUCAUGGAGCUGAAGUCAGUCGAAGAUACCAGCUGGCUGCAACUGUUUAUUAAAAACACAGCACUGUGCAAACACGAAAGUGGACGUAUACGGUGUGACGCCUGCCCGGUGCCGGAAGGUUAAUUGAUGGGGUCAGCGCAAGCGAAGCUCCUGAUCGAAGCCCCGGUAAACGGCGGCCGUAACUAUAACGGUCCUAAGGUAGCGAAAUUCCUUGUCGGGUAAGUUCCGACCUGCACGAAUGGCGUAAUGAUGGCCAGGCUGUCUCCACCCGAGACUCAGUGAAAUUGAACUCGCUGUGAAGAUGCAGUGUACCCGCGGCAAGACGGAAAGACCCCGUGAACCUUUACUAUAGCUUGACACUGAACAUUGAGCCUUGAUGUGUAGGAUAGGUGGGAGGCUUUGAAGUGUGGACGCCAGUCUGCAUGGAGCCGACCUUGAAAUACCACCCUUUAAUGUUUGAUGUUCUAACGUGGACCCGUUACCCGGGUUGCGGACAGUGUCUGGUGGGUAGUUUGACUGGGGCGGUCUCCUCCUAAAGAGUAACGGAGGAGCACGAAGGUUGGCUAAUCCUGGUCGGACAUCAGGAGGUUAGUGCAAUGGCAUAAGCCAGCUUGACUGCGAGCGUGACGGCGCGAGCAGGUGCGAAAGCAGGUCAUAGUGAUCCGGUGGUUCUGAAUGGAAGGGCCAUCGCUCAACGGAUAAAAGGUACUCCGGGGAUAACAGGCUGAUACCGCCCAAGAGUUCAUAUCGACGGCGGUGUUUGGCACCUCGAUGUCGGCUCAUCACAUCCUGGGGCUGAAGUAGGUCCCAAGGGUAUGGCUGUUCGCCAUUUAAAGUGGUACGCGAGCUGGGUUUAGAACGUCGUG